rnacentral:rRNA from 1 species
CAGUCGCCGCGGUAAUACGGAGGGAGCUAGCGUUGUUCGGAAUUACUGGGCGUAAAGCGCGCGUAGGCGGUUACUCAAGUCAGAGGUGAAAGCCCGGGGCUCAACCCCGGAACUGCCUUUGAAACUAGGUGACUAGAAUCUUGGAGAGGUCAGUGGAAUUCCGAGUGUAGAGGUGAAAUUCGUAGAUAUUCGGAAGAACACCAGUGGCGAAGGCGACUGACUGGACAAGUAUUGACGCUGAGGUGCGAAAGCGUGGGGAGCAAACAGGAUUAGAUACCCGUGUAGUCCCUGUCUCUUAUAC